CAGAAAUGGAAGCAACUUCUACUUCUCCUUUCAAGAUAAUCUUGGGAUCAUCUUCGGUUGCGCGGAGGAAAAUAUUAGCUGAGAUGGGAUAUGAAUUUGAAAUCAUUACUGCAGAUAUUGACGAAAAAUGUAUACGGAAGGAAAAGCCAGAAGAGUUGGUAAUGGCUCUUGCUGAGGCUAAGGCUGAAGCCAUCUUGCAAAAGCCCCCAGUACAUGACUAUGUUAAGGAAGCUGAGCCAGUAUUAUUAAUUACUUGUGAUCAAGUGGUGGUUUAUGAAGGUGCAGUCAGGGAAAAGCCAUCCAGUGAGGAAGAAGCACGGCAUUUUAUGAAAGGUUAUUCUGGUCGGUAUGCUGCAACUGUGAGUUCUGUUCUUGUUACAAAUCUUAAAACUGGAUUCAGAAAAGUAGAAUGUGACAGAGUGGAGAUCUAUUUCCAUGAAAUACCAGAUGAAGUCAUUGAAAAGCUGAUCGAAGAGGGACUUGUGCUCAGAGUUGCUGGGGGCCUUAUAAUAGAGCAUCCUUUAAUAUUGCCUUACGUUAAAGAAGUGGUAGGGACAACUGAUAGCGUGAUGGGACUUCCCAAAGCCCUCACUGAAAAACUUGUGAAAGAGGCUCUCUAGCUACUCCAGCUGUUUUCUUAUCCAUUCUUUUUGGUAUUAAUCCCACAGGCAUUCUUGCUUUCCUUCACUGUUAUUGCUCCACUCAACAUUGCUUUGAACUUGAUAAAUCAAUCAUUUGUCAUCACCCCAUC
rnacentral:misc_RNA from 1 species